rnacentral:rRNA from 1 species
GAUGAACGCUAGCGACAGGCCUAACACAUGCAAGUCGAGGGGCAGCGGGAUUGAAGCUUGCUUCAAUUGCCGGCGACCGGCGCACGGGUGAGUAACGCGUAUCCAACCUUCCGUACACUCAGGGAUAGCCUUUCGAAAGAAAGAUUAAUACCUGAUGGUACGAUGAGAUUGCAUGAUAGCAUCAUUAAAGAUUUAUCGGUGUACGAUGGGGAUGCGUUCCAUUAGGUAGUAGGCGGGGUAACGGCCCACCUAGCCUACGAUGGAUAGGGGUUCUGAGAGGAAGGUCCCCCACAUUGGAACUGAGACACGGUCCAAACUCCUACGGGAGGCAGCAGUGAGGAAUAUUGGUCAAUGGGCGGAAGCCUGAACCAGCCAUGCCGCGUGAAGGACUAAGGCCCUACGGGUCGUAAACUUCUUUAGACGCAGAGCAAUAAGGUCCACGUGUGGACCGAUGAGAGUAUGCGUAGAAUAAGCAUCGGCUAACUCCGUGCCAG